rnacentral:tRNA from 1 species
GUCCAUAGCUCAGUGGAAGAGCAUUUGACUGCAGCUCAAGAUCUCGUUUGUUCGAACCUGGCUGGGCA